rnacentral:rRNA from 1 species
AGUGAACGCUGGCGGUAGGCCUAACACAUGCAAGUCGAACGGCAGCACAGUAAGAGCUUGCUCUUACGGGUGGCGAGUGGCGGACGGGUGAGGAAUACAUCGGAAUCUACUUUUUCGUGGGGGGUAACGUAGGGAAACUUACGCUAAUACCGCAUACGACCUACGGGUGAAAGCAGGGGAUCUUCUGACCUUGCGCGAUUGAAUGAGCCGAUGUCGGAUUAGCUAGUUGGCGGGGUAAAUGCCCACCAAGGCGACGAUCCGUAGCUGGUCUGAGAGGAUGGUCAGCCACACUGGAACUGAGACACGGUCCAGACUCCUACGGGAGGCAGCAGUGGGGAAUAUUGGACAAUGGGCGCAAGCCUGAUCCAGCCAUACCGCGUGGGUGAAGAAGGCCUUCGGGUUGGAAAGCCCUUUUGUUGGGAAAGAAAAGCAGCAGGUUAAUACCCCGCUGUUCUGACGGUACCCAAAGAAUAAGCACCGGCUAACUUCGUG